rnacentral:misc_RNA from 1 species
UCCCGGUUAACCCGGGCAGUCUCAUUAGAGUUCCCACCUUAAAUGUUGGCAACUAAUGAUAAGGGUUGCGCUCGUUGCUGGACUUAACCAAACACCUCACGGCACGAGCUGACGACAGCCAUGCAGCACCUGUGCAGCGGCUCCGAAGAGAAACACUAUUUCUAGUGUCGUCCACUGCAUGUCAAGUCUGGGUAAGGUUCUUCGCGUUGCAUCGAAUUAAACCACAUGCUCCACUGCUUGUGCGGGUCCCCGUCAAUUCUUUUGAGUUUCACCCUUGCGAGCGUACUCCCCAGGCGGUAUACUUAUCGCGUUAGCUACGGCACAACCGGGGUUGAGUCCAGUUACACCAAGUAUACAUCGUUUAUGGCAAGGACUAC